AAUAAAGGUUUCGUAGGUGACCUGCGGAAGGAUCAUUAUUGAAAUAAACCUGAUGGGUUGUUGCUGGUUCUCUAGGGAGCAUGUGCACACCUUGUCAUCUUUAUAUCUCCACCUGUGCACUUUUUGUAGACCUUUCAGGUCUAUGUUGCUUCAUUUACCCCAAUGUAUGUUAAUAGAAUGUUGUGCCUAUAUAAUAUAUACAACUUUCAGCAACGGAUCUCUUGGCUCUCGCAUCGAUGAAGAACGCAGCGAAAUGCGAUAAGUAAUGUGAAUUGCAGAAUUCAGUGAAUCAUCGAAUCUUUGAACGCACCUUGCGCUCCUUGGUAUUCCGAGGAGCAUGCCUGUUUGAGUGUCAUUAAUAUAUCAACCUUCUCUUUUUUGAGUUGUUUGGAUGUGGGGGUUUGCUGGCCUCUUAAAUGAUUCAGCUCCCCUGAAAUGCAUUAGCAGAACAACCUGUUCAUUGGCGUGAUAAUUAUCUAUGCUAUUGAAUGUGAGGGCAGUUCAGCUUUCUAACCGUCCUUGGACAAUUCAUCAUUAAUGGGACCUCCAAUCAGGGAGGACUACCCGCUGAACUUUAAGCAUUAAAAA
rnacentral:rRNA from 1 species